GCAGUAGCCGCGGUAAUACGAAGGGUGCAAGCGUUACUCGGAAUUACUGGGCGUAAAGCGUGCGUAGGUGGUGGUUUAAGUCCGUUGUGAAAGCCCUGGGCUCAACCUGGGAAUUGCAGUGGAUACUGGGUCACUAGAGUGUGGUAGAGGAUAGUGGAAUUUCCGGUGUAGCAGUGAAAUGCGUAGAGAUCGGAAGGAACAUCUGUGGCGAAGGCGACUAUCUGGGCCAACACUGACACUGAGGCACGAAAGCGUGGGGAGCAAACAGGAUUAGAUACCCGGGUAGUCCCUGUCUAUUAUAC
rnacentral:rRNA from 1 species